rnacentral:rRNA from 1 species
UGUGAGUCGUUGCAGCAAUGCAAGGCAGACGGCUCAGUAACACGUAGUCAACCUAACCUAUGGACGGGGAUAACCUCGGGAAACUGAGAAUAAUACCCGAUAGAUCAUGAUACCUGGAACGGUUUAUGGUUCAAAUGAUUUAUCGCCAUAGGAUGGGACUGCGGUCUAUCAGCUUGUUGGUGAGGUAAUGGCCCACCAAGGCUAUAACAGAUACGGGCUCUGAGAGGAGGGGCCCGGAGAUGGGUACUGAGACACGGACCCAGGUCCUAUGGGGCGCAGCAGGCGAGAAACCUUUGCAAUGUGCGAAAGCACGACAAGGUUAAUCCGAGUGAUUCCUGCUAAAGGAAUCUUUUGUUAGUCAUAAAACCACUGAUGAAUAAGGGGUGGGCAAGUUCUGGUGUCAGCCGCCGCGGUAAUACCAGCACCUCGAGUGGUCAGGAGGUUUAUUGGGCCUAAAGCAUCCGUAGCCGGCUGUUCAAGUUUCCGGUUAAAUCCACACGCUUAACGUAUGGGCUGCCGGAAAUACUGUUCAGCUAGGGAGUGGGAGAGGUAGACGGUACUCGAUAGGAAGGGGUAAAAUCCUUUGAUCUAUUGAUGACCACCUGUGGCGAAGGCGGUCUACCAGAACACGUUCGACGGUGAGGGAUGAAAGCUGGGGGAGCAAACCGGAUUAGAUACCCGGGUAGUCCCAGCUGUAAACGAUGCAGACUCGGUGAUGCAUUGGCUUGUGGCCAGUGCAGUGCCGCAGGGAAGCCGUUAAGUUUGCCGCCUGGGAAGUACGUACGCAAGUAUGAAACUUAAAGGAAUUGGCGGGGGAGCACCACAAGGGGUGAAGCCUGCGGUUCAAUUGGAUUCAACGCCGG